rnacentral:tRNA from 1 species
UGGCUCAGUGGUUAAGAGCACUGGCUGUGCUUCCAGAGGCCCUGGGUUUGAUUCCCAG